CGCAGAAGAUGCAUGAGUACACCACAUCGGUACUCAGCAAGUGUCAAGCCAAACCUAGGUUGAGUAGUGACGAGGAAGGUCAGGGCCCUACUGAGAAUAAACAUAACAACAGCAAUGAACAAUGUAAGGCAGAAAAUAAGCAGGAAAGCAACAGUAAAAAUAGAAUUGAAGCUGCAAGUCAACGACAAUUAAGCUAGGUAAAGAAAAUAACACAAUCAAGUAUCACUCAAUAUCAGGAUGACAUAUGAAACUCCAGGAAUUGAACCCGUAGUCCAUUUUACCAAUAUCUGAGGAUCUUCCGGGAAUUAAACCCGUAGUCCAUCAUACCAAUGUCAGAGGAUCUCCCGGGAAUUGAACCCGUAGUCCCAAUCGUAAACACAUCACAACAAUUCAAUAAUGUACAAAUUCUAAGUAAAGACAACAGGUAGAAUCCAAAGUCUAACAUGCUUCACGAAGAGCAGAUAUUGCAAUUUAGCCAAAUAGAACGAGUAAGCUAACUAACAUGUUUUUCCUAAGCAAAACAAGUGAAAUUUGCAUUUAUAACAGUUCAAUACGUGAAGAACACAAUCUAAAUACGUCCAAGUAAGGUGGUUUUCCAACAAUUAGCACAAGUACACGCUCAUGAACUCGCGCACAAGGCCUUCUAAGCAACAGUCAAGAUGUACUAAGGGAAGAGGUCCCCCACAGAAAGUUGACAAGCCACUUACCUCGAACCGGUACAAAAAUUGCUAAAAAACGAUGACCUUGCCAUGAGUAUCCGACUCCGAGUGGCCCGAAUCUAUUAAAACCAAUUACAUAUUAUAAAUAACAUUGCAAGUAACUAAUUCCACUAUUAAAAUUAAAGCUAAGGCGUGAAAAUAUGUAAAAUAACCAAAAUACCCCUCAGGACAACGUCUUAGAAUUGAAUAAUUUCCUUAUUUUCAGAAUCUCGUACUCUCGCGAGUCUAACCAUAUAAAAAUCUCCCAAAUCGGAGGUCAAAUGCCCCUUCANNNNNNNNNNNNNNNNNNNNNNNNNNNNNNNNNNNNNNNNNNNNNNNNNNNNNNNNNNNNNNNNNNNNNNNNNNNNNNGCCCCUUCAAAUCCUCACAAUUAGGUCUAAGAACUUUACCCCAAUUUUCAUUCAAAAUCUGAAAUUAAAGGUUGAAUUCACGAUUAGAUUAGUGGGUUUAGUCAUAGGGGAGUAAGGAAUCAUUACCCAAUCAUUGCCUCUUGAAAGCCCUCGAGGCCCAGCACAAAAGGCUUUAUGCGAUGUAUGGAAGCUUAUGCUAUCACAGAGAAGGAAAGGUCUGCAACACAUAGUAGCAAAAUCUGCAACUCACUAAGUUCCGAAAUUGCUCCGUUGAGCAUCUGAAACACACCCGAGGCCCCCGGGACCUCAACCAAACCUAUGGACAUAUCCCAUAAUAUCAUUCAAACUUGUACCAAUCCUUAAACCAUCUAAUACAAUGUCGGAAACUCAAAUUAAUCAACGAUUUGAACUUAAGAACUCCAAAACUCAACCAAACUGACUUUCGAUAAAAAACCUAACCAAGCUAAGUCCGAUUGACCUGAAAUUUUGCACGCACGUCCCAAAUGACACGAUGGUGCUACAUAAACUUCCAGAAUCCCAUUCCGACCCUCGGAUAAAAAUUCACUAUCGGACCGGAAACUUUAAAAUUCUAACUUUCGGCAUUUCUAGCCUAAAUGAGCUACGGACAUCCGAAAUACAUUCCGAACACGCUCCCAACCCCGAAAUUACCUAACGGAGAUAACAGAUCCAUCAGAUUUCCAUUACGAGAUCGUCUUCACACUGUUCUGAUUAUGGACCAUUUUCCAAUAAUUAAGCUCUCAUUUAGGGACUAAGUGUCCCAAAACACUCCGAUUUCUAUUACCGAACGUCCUGACAAACCAAAAUAGCAGAAAUGGACUUAGAGAAAGUAGUAAUGGGGGAACGGGGCAUAAAUUUCAAAUACGACCGGCCGAGUUGCCACAUGUAUAGAAUAUAAUGUAUUUGUAUCAUUGUCAGUUAAUAGGGGAACAGGACAUAAAUUCGAAAGACGAACGGCCGGGUCGUCACAUCCUCCUACACUUAAAUAUUCAUUCGUCCUCGAACGAGCAUAGAGAACAUACCUCAAGUAGCAAAAAGAUGAGGGUAUCGGCUGUGCAUAUCCCGCUUGGUCUCCCAAGUCGCCUCCUUGGACGGAUGACCCUGCCACUGAACCUUUGCUGAAGCUAUAUCCUUUGACCUGAGCUUUCGGACAUGCAUGUCUAAUAUUUUCACUUGCUCCUCAACAUAGGACAAGUCAUUGUCCAACUGGACUAAAGUGAACUCCAACACAUGAGACGGGUCACUGUGAUACCUCCGAAGCAUCGAGACAUGAAAUACCGGAUGAACCCCGGCCAAACUGGGAGGUAACAAGUCAUUGUCCAACUGAACUGUAGUGAACUCCAACACGUGAGACGGGUCACCGUGAUACCUCUGAAGCAUCAAAACAUGAAAUAUUGGAUGAACCCCUGCCAAACUAGGAGGUAAGGCAAGCUCAUAAGCAACCUUCCCAAUCUGCCUCAAAAUCUCAAAUAGGCAAAUGAACCUCAGGCUGAACUUCCUUUUCUUUCCAAACCUCAUGACGCCUUUCAUAGGCGAGACCCGAAUCAAAACAUGCUCACCAACCAUAAAGGAAACAUCACGAACCUUCCGGUCCGCAUAACUCUUCUGUCUGGACUGUGCCGUACGGAGUCUAUCCCGAAUCACUUUAACCUUCUCGACCGCAUCCUGGACCAAAUCACUGCCCAAUAGCCUGGCCUCACCCGGCUCGAACCAACCCACCAGGGAUCUGCAUCUCCUACCAUAUAAAGAAGUAUCAUAGAAACGUAACCCAAUAAUCUCUUCUUCAAAUCCCUCUCAAAAUUGCCUUGGUCCGAGCUCAAACUUGAUUUUUCAACUUAUGAAAUUAAACCCUCGGAUUAUUUUUAUCUUUACACACAGCAAUUUCCGCUUUCGCGGACCAGGGACCGCUUCUGUGGUCCCAUCCAUUUUCGAGGUCAAAUUGCUGCUUGUGCGACUCCAGUUAAAACACAAAUUUUUGCGGUCUCAUACGGCGCCAUCUGAAUACUGGACUGAUAAAUGUUGUUGUAUGCAAACUUAGCCAAUGCAAAGAACUGAUCCCAAGACCCUCUAAACUCAAUUACGCAUGCACAGAGCAUAUCCUCAAGAAUAUGAAUAGUGCGCUCGGACUGCCCGUCCGUCUGUGGGUGAAAAGUUGUACUCAUAGCACCCGGGUACCCAUCUCAUGCUGGACAGCUCUCAAGAAUUGUGAUGUAAACACUGAACCCCUGUCUGAGAUGAUAAAAACUGGAAUGCUGUGUAGACGGACAAUGUCCCUGAUAUAAAUCCCCGCUAAUCACUCCCCUGAGUAAGAAGUACACACUGGAACAAAUGAUCGGACUUGGUCAGCCGAUGCACAACCACCAUAAUAGAAUCAAAUUUCUUUGCUGUCAGAGGGAGACCCGUCACAAAUCCAUAGUGAUUUUCUCCCAUUUCCACUCCGGAAUCUGCAUCUGCUGGAGUAACCCUCCAGGUCUCUAGUGCUCGGCCUUUACCUGCUGACAGUUUAGGCAUAUAGCUACAAACUCUGCUAUGUCUUUCUUCAUCCGCCUCCACCAGUAAUGAUGUCUCAGAUCCUGAUACAUCUUUGCGGCACCCGAAUGGAUGGAGUACCGCGAGCUAUGGGCCUCUGUCAAUAUCAACUCCUGAAUAUCAUCAACAUCGGGUACACAGAUCCGACCCUGCAUCCUCGAUACCCCGUCAUCUCUAAUAGUCACAUCCCUAGCGUCACCAUGUUGAAUUGUGUCCCUGAGGACAAGCAAAUGAGGGUCAUCAUACUGCUACUCCUUGAUACGAUCAAACAAUGAAGACCGAGAAAACACACAGGGUAGAACCCGACUGGGCUCCGAAAGGUCCAAUCUCACGAACUUACUGGCUAAAGCCUGAACAUCCAUCACCAUAGGUCUCUCUGAAGCUGGUAAAUAUGCCAAACUCCCCAAACUCUCCGCCCGGUGACUCAAGGCACCUGUUACCACAUCGGCUUUGCCCGGGUGAUAUAGAAUAGUAAUAUUAUAAUCCUUCAGUAGAUUUAACCAUCUCCUCUGGUGCAAGUUCAGAUCCUUUUGCUUGAACAAGUGCUGUAAACUCCGGUGAUCCAUAUAAAUCUCACAAGGCACGCCAUACAAAUAGUGGCGCCAGAUCUUCAAGGCAUGAACAAUAGCAGCUAACUCAAGGUCAUGGACAGGAUAGUUCUUUUCAUGUACCUUCAAUUGUCUGGAGGGGUACGCAAUCACCCUACCGUCCUACAUCAACACCGCUCCAAGACUGACUCAUGAGGCAUCACAAUAAACUGUAUAGGACCCCGAACCUUCGGUAAAAUCAGAAUAGGAGAUGAAGUCGAAGCUGUCUUGAGCUUCUGGAAGCUCGCCUCACACUCAUCUGUCCACGGAAAGGGAGCACCCUUCUAGGUCAAUCUAUUCAUAGGGGCUGCAAUCGAUGUGAACCCCUCCAUAAAACGACGGUAAUACCCCGCCAGGCCAAGGAAACUGCGGAUCUCUGUAGCUGAGGAGGGCCCGAUCCAACUCUGCACGGCCUCCACCUUCUUCGAAUCUAUCUGAAAUCCCUCACUCGAUACCACGUGGCCUAGGAAUGCCACAGAACCCAACCAAAACUCACAUUUUGAGAACUUUUCAUAUAAUUUCUUUUCUCUCAGGGUCUGAAGCACUGUCCUCACGUGAUGCGCAUUAUCUUCCCGACUACGGGAGUAUACAAUAAUAUCAUCUAUGAAAAUAAUGACAAACGAGUCGAGAUAAGGGCUGAAUAUACUGUGCAUCAAAUGCAUAAAAGCUACUAGGGCAUUGGUCAGCCCAAAUGAAAUGACAAGGAACUCGUAAUGACCAUACCGAGUCCUGAAAGCAGUCUUUGGGAUAUCCGGCUCCCGAAUUUUUAGCUUGUGAUAACCUAAGCGCAAAUCAAUCUUAGAAAAUACUUGUGCUCCCUAAAGCUGGUCAAACAGAUAAUUGAUACGAGGCAAAGGAUAUUGGUUCUUCACUGUAACCUUGUUUAACUGACGAUAAUCAAUACACAUGCGCAUAGAACCAUCUUUUUUCUAUACGAACAAGACGGGAGCAACCCAUGGUGAAACAUUGGGUCGAAUAAAACCCUUAUCAAGCAAUUCCUAUAACUGAUCCUUCAACUCUUUCAACUCAGGAGGAGCCAUACGGUAGGGAGGAAUGGAUAUGGGCUGAGUGCCCGGCAACAAAUCAAUACCAAAAUUAAUGUCCCGAUCGGGCGGCAUGCCCGGAAGAUCAUCUGGAAACACAUCGGUGAAAUCUCGUACUACUGGGAGAGAGUCAACAUAAGGGGUAUCAGCACUGACAUCUCUCACAUAAGCUAAAUACGCGGUGCACCCUUAGCUGGGAACAUAUUAGGGAAAUCUCGUACUACUAGGACAGAGUCAACAGAAAGGGUAUCAACACUGACAUCUCUCACAUAGGCUAAAUACGCGGUGCACCCCUUCUCAACCAUACGCUGAGCCUUAAGAAAAGAUAUAACUCUACUAGGAGUGUGAUCAAAAGUACCACUCCACUCAACACGUGGAAUACGUGCCAUAGCUAGUGUCAUGUCUUAGCGUGACAAUCAAGAAUAGCAUACUGGGGCGACAACCAGUCCAUGUCUAAGAUAAUAUAGAAAUCAACCAUAUCAAGUAAUAAAAGAUCUACCCUGGUCUCAAAACCACGAAUAGUAACCAAACAUAACCGAUAUACACGGUUCACAAUAAGGGAAUCUCCCACGGGAGUAGAAACAUAAAAUGGAGAACUCAAGUUCUCUCGGGCUGUACCCAAAUGCGGAGCAAAAUAAGAUGACAUGUAAGAAUAAGUAGAGCCUGGAUCGAAUAGAAAUGAUGCCUCUUUGUGACUAACAAAUAUAAUACAUGUGAUAACAGAAUCGGAGGCGACAGCCGUGGCACGAUCAAGAAUAGCAUAAAAUCUGGCCUGGCCCUCCCUCGAGGGAGACCUCUAUCUCCCCGAUUCCCACCCUUGGCUGGUUGUGUAGGUGGGGUGGCAGCUAGAGCUGGAACGAUGGCAUGCUGACCCUAUGGAGCAUGCUGAGGCUGUGGAGUCUGAGAAGGAACACCCCUCUCACAUCUGGGGCACUCUCUAACCAGGUGGCAGGUAUCCCCGCACUCAUAACAAGCUCUGGGAGGGCACGGUGGUUGUGACUGACUAGGCUCACCCCCUCUAGACUGACCUCUGGGAGUACCCGCGCAGGAGGCACACUAAAAACUGGAGGUGCAUAAUAAGACUCCUGAGAUCUGGGAAGAGCUGGAGUACUGCUGGAUAAAGGAAGAGCUGAGUGAACUGGGCGACCCAUAUAGCCCCUACCAAGACGCCCUGCUGCUGAUGUGCGGGUACCAGAGUAAUGACCCGACUCUCGAUACCUCUUGGCCUCUAUCUCCUUUCGCUCUCUGGCAUGCAUACCCUCUAUCCUCCUGGCUAUGCUCACUACCUGCUGAUAGGGUAUAUACAUCUCCAAAUCGCGAGGCAUGCCCGACCUGAUGGAAGGAAUAAGUCCCUCAAUAACCAGGGAACCCUCUCAUGAACAGUAGCCACCAAAGCCGGUGCAUGCCUGGCCAACCUAGUAUAACGGAUGGCAUACUCAGAGACAGUCAUAGGGCCCUGGAGCAAAUGCUCAAACUCCAUUCGCCAUGCAUCUCGGAGGCUCUAGGGAACAAAAUCCCUCUGAAACAUAUCUAAAAACUGAGUCCAAGUCAGGGAGGUAGCCUCCUCCAGACUGUCUAACUCAAAGGUGCACCACCAGUCAUAGGUGACUCACCGAAGCUGGAAAGCUGCGAAUGAAACCCCGUUCGAAGCAGUAAUACCCAUGGUGCGAAAGAUGCGGCGACAGCCCUCCAAAAACCCUAAAGCAUCAUCUGUAGCUAGUCCUCUGAAAACAUGAGGGUCAUACUUCUUGAACCUCUCCACUCUACGCUGCUCAUCCUCAGAAGCAGGUGCCCCAUCCUCGGGCUGAACCAGUACUGCAGCCUGGGAAGGGAUAAUAUCUAGAAACUGUCCCAUAUGCACCCUCUGCUCCGGAGUGCGGGCUGCGCUAGUCUGGGCUCCUCCCCCGGCCUGGGACGUGGCUGCAGGAAGGGGAAGUAACCCUGCCUGUGACAGCGUAGUAUACAUGCUCAUAAACUGUGCCAAUGCCUCCUAAACAUCUGGAGUAGUUGUGGUUGUGGGCGUGUCAGGUGCUUGGGUCCUGGCUGGAUCCGCUGGUGGUACCUCGGCGACCGUUCGCGCAAGUGCUCUGGUUUCACCCCGCGGGCGUCUAUGACCCCUGCCCUGGCCCCGCCUCUAGCGGCUGCAAGAGGGGGUGCGGGUGCCUAAUCAUCCUGGGCUGUGCGUGUCCUCACCAUCUGUGAGAGAAUGAAAGACAGAAGUUUAGAAUCGAUGUAAAAAAUAUAGCAUGAUAAGGAAUUCAAUGAAGUGAAGAUUUUUCCUAAACAGUUACAUAGCCUCCCAUAGAUAAGUAUAGACGUCUCCGUACCGAUCAGCGAGACUCUAAUAAACCGGCCUGUGUCCCGUGACUCCUAUGAACCUAUAGUUAUGAUACCAACUUGUCACGACCCUAGUUCACCAAUCGUGAAUCUGUCAUGAUGGCACCCAGUCUUCGCGACUAGGUAAGCCUAACAUAUUGCGGAAUUUAACAACCUUUACUAAAACAAUAACAAAAUACUAAAUUACAUAAGGAAAUGUAUAGACUUGCCACCUGGCAUAUACACUUCAACACAAAAUACUGGAAACAACCUCCAAGACCCGGAAACCCACAAGCAAACAUAGGCUAUAGAAAACGUACAAUGCUCUAUACACAAGAGUAGUCUAAUACAAGAGAAUGGAAUAGCAACUAGCUAACUAUAGGCAGAAUAUGAGGGAGACUCUCCGGAUCUGCAGGCGCUGUAGAUGCAUACCUCAAAUCUCCGAGUAUAGCUCCUGGAUCACUGAUAGUGCGCUCGACCAGAUGUACCUGGAUCUGCACAUGAAAACAUGCGCAGAAAAGGCAUGAGUACACCACAGCGGUACUCAGCAAGUGCCAAGCCUAACCUCGGUUGAAUAGUGACGAGGAAGGUCAAGGUCGUACUGAGAAUAAACAUAACAACAAUAAUGAACAAUGUAAGGCAGACAAAAAGUAGGAAAUAAACAAUAAAAAUAGAAUUGAAGCUGCAAGUCCGCGACAAUUAAGCUAGGUAAAGAAAAUAACACAAUCAAGUAUCACUCAAUAUCAG
rnacentral:lncRNA from 1 species